rnacentral:tRNA from 1 species
UGUAGUUUCUAGGAUUUUAACCUAAAGCCUUUGCUUGCAAAGCAAAUAUUUUUAAUUAAACUAAAACCAC